AAUGGACGCAAGUCUGAACCAGCCAUGUCGCGUGCAGGAAGACGGCCUUAUGGGUUGUAAACUGCUUUUAUACAGGGAUAAACCCCUUCUCGUGAGGAGGGCUGAAGGUACUGUAUGAAUAAACACCGGCUAACUCCGUGCCAGCAGCCGCGGUAAUACGGAGGGUGUAAGCGUUAUCCGGAAUCAUUGGGUUUAAAGGGUCCGUAGGCGGACUAUUAAGUCAGAGGUGAAAUCCCACGGCUCAACCGUGGAACUGCCUUUGAUACUGGUAGUCUUGAGUUAUUGUGAAGUAGAUGGAAUGUGUAGUGUAGCGGUGAAAUGCAUAGAUAUUACACAGAACACCGAUUGCGAAGGCAGUCUACUAAUAAUAUACUGACGCUGAGGGACGAAAGCGUGGGGAUCGAA
rnacentral:rRNA from 1 species